rnacentral:rRNA from 1 species
GUGGGGAAUCUUAGACAAUGGGCGCAAGCCUGAUCUAGCCAUGCCGCGUGAGCGAUGAAGGCCUUAGGGUUGUAAAGCUCUUUCGUGGGGGAAGAUAAUGACUGUACCCCAAGAAGAAGCCCCGGCUAACUCCGUGCCAGCAGCCGCGGUAAUACGGAGGGGGCUAGCGUUGUUCGGAAUUACUGGGCGUAAAGCGCACGUAGGCGGACUGGAAAGGCAGGGGUGAAAUCCCGGGGCUCAACCCCGGAACUGCCUUUGAAACUCCCAGUCUUGAGUUCGAGAGAGGUGAGUGGAAUUCCGAGUGUAGAGGUGAAAUUCGUAGAUAUUCGGAGGAACACCAGUGGCGAAGGCGGCUCACUGGCUCGAUACUGACGCUGAGGUGCGAAAGCGUGGGGAGCAAACAGGAUUAGAUACCCGUGUAGUCC